AACCAUUACCGUGUAUAUGGUCUCUGUUUUGCUUGUGUCUCAAGUUGUUAGCUCUCUGUGCAGGGAAUUUUGGAGUAUGUCUUAGAUUGUGAGUUCAGUGGGCUGUUUUUGGUGUCUCUGGGUAUCUGAACUGUUUGGAGGUCAGUGUCUUGGGAGUGAAAUUUCUUCUUUGUCUUUUGUGUUUAGGGAGGAUACUGGAGAUUGAGUCCAAGGCCUCAGGCAUGAUAAGCAAGUGCUUUCUCACUGAGCUACAUCUCCAGCCCUUAAAAAAUUUUUUUUAAGAUAAUGUCCUGCCAAGUUGCCCAGGCUAACCUUAAACUUGUGAUCCUCUUGUCUCCACCUCCCACAUAGCCAGGACUACAGGCCAGCUAUGGCAUAUCGAGACAUAACUCCAUUUUGGCCUCUGGUCACAGCUACAACCUCAGUGGUCCCGUGAUGCUGUGAUGCUCCAGGACAAGAUUACACCAGCUGAAGACAUCCUGGGAGGAACAAAAUCUUCAUCUGCAUAGUUCCUCAUUGAUCUAGGAUAUCUGCCGCCUGCCUCGCAAGUGCAAGGUCCUGAGUUCGAUCCCUGUUACCAAAAAAAAAAGUUCUUUACAUUUUCAGAUCUCCCCAUGUUGUGUCUUACUUUUGGGGAAGAGAAUAGGAGGAGGAAGGAGCAAAAACAGUGUCUCAUUGGAGUCCCCAAAGGAUGGAACUCAGGAUCUUGCGCUUGCAAGGUGGGCGCUGGAACUACUGAGCUAAAUCCCCAGCCCUGUUUUGAUGUUUUAGAGUGGACAUGCUAUUGGAUCCCAUGUGUGAGAACUCGGAGUGAAUUGCCCCCUCCCUCUGAGAGUCUCUCUGCUUCCUGACUGUCAUGUAAACAGCUUUCCUCUGUCCAGGGCCUUCUACCACACCAUUGAAGCCAGGCCAUGGACUGAAACUUCUAAAACUGCAAAUCAAAAUAAACCUCUCCUCUUUUAAGGUGUGGGUGUCAAGUAUUGUGUCUCAGUCACAAGGAAAGUAACUAAGACAGAUGGGGAUAAAUCAUAUUCUAACUGCAGCACUCUGAAAUUAGUUACUAAAACG
ensembl:lncRNA